AUUGAACGCUGGCGGCAGGCUUAACACAUGCAAGUCGAGCGGGGUGAUGGUGCUUGCACUAUCACUUAGCGGCGGACGGGUGAGUAAUGCUUAGGAAUCUGCCUAUUAGUGGGGGACAACAUCUCGAAAGGGAUGCUAAUACCGCAUACGUCCUACGGGAGAAAGCAGGGGAUCACUUGUGACCUUGCGCUAAUAGAUGAGCCUAAGUGGGAUUAGCUAGUUGGUGGGGUAAAGGCCUACCAAGGCGACGAUCUGUAGCGGGUCUGAGAGGAUGAUCCGCCACACUGGGACUGAGACACGGCCCAGACUCCUACGGGAGGCAGCAGUGGGGAAUAUUGGACAACGGGGGGAACCCUGAUCCAGCCAUGCCGCGUGUGUGAAGAAGGCCUUAUGGUUGUAAAGCACUUUAAGCGAGGAGGAGGCUCUUUUGGUUAAUACCCAGAAUGAGUGGACGUUACUCGCAGAAUAAGCACCGGCUAACUCUGUGCCAGCAGCCGCCGCCG
rnacentral:rRNA from 1 species